rnacentral:lncRNA from 1 species
AGGCAACUGGGCUCUUUUUUUUUUUUUUUUCCCCCCUAUCUUUUCUUUUCUUUUCUUUUUUUUAAUUCAAAGGUCUCAGUAAGCAAAGCAUAAUGUAUUCUGCCCAAACUGUGAGAACAGAGCAAUACAGAAUAAUUUACUCCACUAAUGCCAAAUUAAAAUUCAUAACACAAUUCUUUAAUUACCAUCUGAAUCCAAUUCUCAAAGAAGUUUGCCCUAAUUGCAUUGUUGAUAUGCAUGGAUGCAAAUAAGAUGUUGACUGUUUCCCUUGUAGCAAAUGACUCUGUUUCUAAUAUGCACACAUCUAACAACAUGGGGCCAAAUUCAUCCCUGGUAAAAACCCAUUAGAGCCAGCAAAGUUAUAUUGGGAACAAAUCUGAACCACCCUUCUCUGGAAAACUGAUCUAGUUAUCAGCCACUAAAAAUUGCCCCUCCAGUGCCUACAGACAAACGCACUGUCCCUGAGCAAGCCGGUGAAAAUCUCCCAGAAAACCCCCAGCAGGCUAGAAAGACAAAAGUGUGAAAUGGGCACGUGUGGAACAACAUUUGCCAGAAGGUAGCAGGGAUGUAGAAGCCCAGAUGUUCUACUUUGUUUUGUGACAGCACUGAAUAGGGAUCCUAUUCUUAGCCCACAGCACAGGUGUUUCAAAGGAAGAGAGUGAGAACAUCAGGCUGGAGAUUAAAUAAUAUUCACCAAAGAAGGCAGAGAGAGCAUGGGCAUCAUUUGGGCAUUUCUGUCAUCACUGCAUGUUUCUCUCAGGUAAUGUAGGCGUGGAAUCUGGAACCAACAGUGAGGGAAACCAGCGCCAUGAGGGGAUACAAGCUCCACAAACUCCAACUCCACCAGUUAUGAGCAAACUGAACUACUGUGUUAAAAACAAUGAACAAAAACAUUUCUCAGUUACUUGGAGGCCAGAACAGUAGGAAUUCAGGUAAGGAGGAAAUCAGAUAUUGAUGGAUGAGAAAAAAUUGCAUGUAAUUGACAUUACUGAAGUCUCUGGAGUGAAUGGCUUGGAAGAGAUGUUAAAAUCUAUUUACCUGUGAUAAGGUAGUGGAAAGUCAGGUACCUUAAAAGAUGUUGGUUUUGGAAAACAGAAAAUGUCAGUGUUGCCAGAAGUGCCUGGCUUCUCUGGGAAGGUCCUUGUCACCUUUACUCCACGCUUCUGGCUGAACUGUCAGGUUGGAGGCUGCACUCCUGGUUGAGUGGAUACUGAGAUCCACGGGUGACUGAGUGGGCACUGAUUGAUUCUUCAACUAGCAAAGCUCAAAGAAGGUAUUGUCUGGGAUUCAUCAUUACACACCCCAGCUUCACAACUAAGACAAUCAAUGUCUUAGCGUUCAAUUCACAGAAAGAGAAUAACCUAACAUGUACACGUGUACAUGCUAGAGAUCUCAGAAGGUCUCACAAAUUACAGAUGAGCAUUUGUUAGCACAAGAAAGUGUUGUUGUGUUGUUGUUGUUUUUGUUGUUGUUUUGAAUCGAUGGGAGAACUCCAUUUUGAAUUUAAGAAUGAAUAAAAUGAAUUGCUGGACUACA